rnacentral:rRNA from 1 species
UACAGGGGGUGCAAACGUUGCUCGGAAUUAUUGGGCGUAAAGCGCGCGUAGGCGGCUACCUAAGUCGGAUGUGAAAGCCCCUGGCUUAACUGGGGAAGUGCACCCGAAACUGGGUAGCUAGAGUGCAAAAGAGGGUCGCGGAAUUCCCAGUGUAGAGGUGAAAUUCGUAGAUAUUGGGAGGAACACCGGUGGCGAAGGCGGCGACCUGGGUUGACACUGACGCUGAGGCGCGAAAGCGUGGGGAGCAAACAGG